CUGAGUCCAUGAUGAUGUGAAGUUAUCCCUGUCUGAAGGCAAACAAAGGCCUUUCAGUGUGGAGUAUGGAUGUCUGAGACUCGG